GCACGUGGCUGCUACUUCUUGCAAUUGUUUGAAAAAUUAGAUCCAGCACAAAGGGUGUACACGGAUAGCUGCCCUCUCUCAACUUGGUAACUGUGCUGCACACAAAAGGGGUGGCAGGAAGGAUGGAUUGGUAUUAAUGUAAGUACAAUAAAAAGGUACGACACUCACAUAGUACUAUGGUACAUGGUUGCUCUCUGAGUUCAACUGAAUUUAAAUUUCACUUAUGCAAAUCAAAUGGAUUAAAGUUGUAUUGUUGCCCCGAGUGUCUCUUUAAUCCACUGUGGUUUUCAAUGUGGUAUGUUCCCAUCUAGUAUGUGUUCCAGGUGAACAGUGUAGUAUUAAAUGGACACUAGAGUCACCAGAACAACUAUAAUAUAGCAUAAUCAUUCCCUUCAGGCUUUUUGCAGUAAACACUGUUUUUUCCCCCCAGAGAAAAUGCAGUGUUUACAUUAUAUUCUAGGGAUACCUCCACUGGCCACUCCUUAGAUGGCUGCUAGAGAUGCUUAUUGGGGCAGUGCUGCACAGUGCAACCCCCUCUGCAUGGAAAAACACUGAACUUUUCUCAUAGAGACGCAUUUAUUUAACCAAGGCUGUAUUUGGCUUGUGCAGCCUGAUCUGCCCUCUUGACACUCUCAGCCAAUCCAAUGCUUUCCUAUGGCAAAGCAUUGUGGCUGGCUCAGAACACCACUUCUGAUGAUAUCAGCCAAGCAGGCGGAUCAGGGGCAGAGCUAGCAGCAGAUAAAAGCAAGAUUUUGCUAUAUUUAGGGUGGCUAGAUGGUGGUUUGUGUUCCUGACCUUAAAACUAUGAAAUAUAAAUAAACUAUGAAAUAUG